GAUGAACGCUGGCGGCGUGCCUAAUACAUGCAAGUCGAGCGAACAGAUGAGGAGCUUGCUCCUCUGACGUUAGCGGCGGACGGGUGAGUAACACGUGGAUAACCUACCUAUAAGACUGGGAUAACUUCGAGAAACCGGAGCUAAUACCGGAUAAUAUAUUGAACCGCAUGGUUCAAUAGUGAAAGACGGUUUUGCUGUCACUUAUAGAUGGAUCCGCGCCGCAUUAGCUAGUUGGUAAGGUAACGGCUUACCAAGGCAACGAUGCGUAGCCGACCUGAGAGGGUGAUCGGCCACGCUGGAACUUGGACACGGUCCAGACUACUGCGGGAGGCAGCAGUAGGGAAUCUUCCGCAAUGGGCGGAAGCCUGACGGAGCAACGCCGCGUGAGUGAUGAAGGUCUUCGGAUCGUAAAACUCUGUUAUUAGGGAAGAACAAAUGUGUAAGUAACGAUGCACGUCUUGACGGUACCUAAUCAGAAAGCCACGGCUAACUACGUG
rnacentral:rRNA from 1 species